rnacentral:rRNA from 1 species
UACGGAAGGCAGCAGUGGGGAAUAUUGCACAAUGGGCGCAAGCCUGAUGCAGCCAUGCCGCGUGUAUGAAGAAGGCCUUCGGGUUGUAAAGUACUUUCAGUCGUGAGGAAGGUGUUAAGGUUAAUAACCUUAGCAAUUGACGUUAGCGACAGAAGAAGCACCGGCUAACUCCGUGCCAGCAGCCGCGGUAAUACGGAGGGUGCGAGCGUUAAUCGGAAUUACUGGGCGUAAAGGGCACGCAGGCGGUUAAUUAAGUUGGAUGUGAAAUCCCCGGGCUUAACCUGGGAAUGGCAUUCAAGACUGGUUAGCUAGAGUCUUGUAGAGGGGGUAGAAUUCCAUGUGUAGCGGUGAAAUGCGUAGAGAUGUGGAGGAAUACCGGGUGGCGAAGGCGGGCCCCUGGGACAAAAGACUGACGCUCAUGUGCGAAAAGCGUGGGGAGCAAAACAGGGAUUAGAUACC